GCUCUAAGCUCUCAGGAAAUAGAGCCCUGGGACUGGGAGCGAUCUUGUGUUUUUUUUUCUCGUGAUUUCAGCUCCCCUGCUAGCGCACGAGUAUGCAACCGACGUUAGCUCACGCAACCGACGUACAACGUCUGGUCAAACUCCUCACGCCGCAUGUCCGUGUUGGGCUUGCAUUGUGCUUUGUGUUUCAAGAGAGAGAGAGAGAGAGAGAGAGAGAGAGAGAGGAGGGCUGAUUUGGGGGAGGAGGUCAACCACCGGUGCUUGGCAUCUUGGGUGAGGAUCGAUUUGGGCGAGGUGGUCGUUGGAGAGGAGGCGCCGACUUUCAGGUGGAAUGUCGUCCUUCUGUCCGUGAUCUGCCGCCGCAUCACCCAUGUCUUCGUGUGUUGCACCUGCUUCCUGCUCCAUCCCACGGGCCGGACGGUCUUGGCCUGCGACGAGUCAAUGGCCAACUGACAGCGACACAUGGAGCCUGAAGGAGCAGGCGGUGGGGGGAGCUGCAGGAGGCCAACAAGGCCCUCGCCACCGCCGCCCAUGACGCACUCCGACGGUGCUAGGCGGGAAUGUCUGUCGCGGCCAUCUUCCUUAACCGGCCAUGCAAACAAAGGAGAGGACGAGUCUGCAGUGCAAGGUCAGUUUGAGCAAGCUUGAAAAUACACACCAUAUUAUCAUGCACAUGCCGUGCAAGCUGCCGGACCGAACUGUAAUUGAACUCUGAAGGCGGGUUCGACCUGUAGCGUUGUAUUAGUACAUCCAGCCAACAUAUAAUUAUGCAAAAGUUCACUUUGUCUGUCCAGUUCAGAUUCUUCUCUAUUUCUCCGGUUCCUACUUUUUUCGGAUGCUGGGCAAUGUACUUUGUUUGUUGAAUUGCUAACGUUCCAAUCCUUCAAUUCUAGAGAAGAAUUUUGAGGAUUUCGUUCAAUCAACUGGUAAUAUGGUAAAGCUAGAAAUGAUCUCAAAUGUUUCUCAACAUAUGCACUAAAAAUAUGUAAAUUGUUGCGCCAAAAAUUACAGGGGAGCACUUAACUGUUACGCUCACAAUCCUAGGAAAACUAUUUUUUUUUGUAAUUAUCCUUUUUGUCGUUAGUAUUCCUCAAGCAACGUAUAAUGUAUAUGCACAUCUCAAUCAUUAAUUGCGGUAUGCUCUGCAAAUGUGUUCUGGUCAUCAUGAUUUUCUGGUAGAUUAAUUAACCUUUUCUUUUUCUCUGUUUUACUGAGAGACCUAUAGUUUUUGUUGUUGAAAUCUGCAUCCCUUAUAAAUUAUGAAGUAUGGUCUGCAAGAAACUGUUCUAGAGCAGCCACGGCAAUUAAUACUCAGCAUUGAGCGCAUCUACAGUAUAUUGGUUAUGUUAAUCGUGUGGACAUGCUAGAUUUCAUGCUGCUGACAGUUUCUUGCAACCAUAUUAUCAGAAGUAUCAUGUUGUGGCUUAUUUACCUGGGACUAGCUUCUCAUGUACUCUCUCCGUAGAGAAAUAUAAGAGCAUUUGGAUCACUACUUUAGUGAUCUAAAUGCUCUUAUAUUUCUUUACAGAGGGAGUAAUAUCCUUUUAGUAACGGUCUUCCAACUUCUGUGCAUUACAAAAAGGAGCAGACCUCAUUUAUAUUUGAAUGAUAAGGUGUUUUUCCUGGCAAAGAGACAAUUGCACUGCUAGAUAAAUGCUCAACACCUAAAUUUGAUAUGGAGUUUUUCUAUUCUACAAGUUAAAAUUAUCGAUAUUGUUCAAUUUAUCUGAAUGCUAACUCUAGGUAAGAGGCACAUUUAUUCUCAGCAAUUUAAACAGUACUACACCAAGUUUAUUUGCAGUAGAUACAAACAAGAAUAUACAUGAAGAUUGACUUUCUUUCUACAUGUUUUGUAUUUCAUCUGCUAACCUCUGUAGCAAUUUUUUCGUUGACCACAAUUUCUGUAGUCUGUAACAAUUUUUAUUCGCGAGUAUGUUCAUAUCAGUCAAUAUAAUGCACCUCGCACUUAUUUACCUAGAAGGUAAUUGCCGCAAAAUUUAUGAAAGUAAUAUUGGUUGUGUGCAGCAAUAAUAUUGUCACUCUCUGUUGCUCCUUUCAAACGUUGUAAUUGUUGAAAACUUUCAUGAAUGAUAAUCAUGAUAUAACUGUAAUGUACACUUGCAAAAUUUGAUGAAAUAGUAUGGUCUCACGUGCUUUGCACAAAAAAGAGAGCGGCAACAGGAGAUUCGUGUGGCUGUUACAUGGGAAAGAAGGAUGGCGUCGGGAGAAGGUGGAUGUGCAGAAAUGGCAGCAGAUCGUGGCCAUGGGGAGGUUUGUAGUGGGGUCGGAGUUCCAUGGCUUCCUCGUGCUCCCUGUCAAGUUUCUGGUGGAGAUGCCUCAUUACUGCACCAGUGCCAGCCUACUUUCUCUCGGAUGCCAUAGCAACUACAAGUCUUGGACACGAUGGAUAGGUCAAAUGGGGAGGUCCGAAGGUGUAGCUCAAGUGUAUCUGUAUUUGUGUCUCAUAAUUGUCCAGGAACUUUGAUUUUUUCAAUAUCUGUAUCUGGUUAUAAACCCAUAGUGAUGUACAUUGGGAAUGUUUGUGGAGGCUACAAAUUUAACCAAAUCUAUGAAGUUUAUGUGUA